GCCUGGGUGGCUCAGUGGGUUAAGCGUCUGACUUCGGCUCAGGUCAUGAUCUCAGGGUCCUGGGAUGGAGCCCCAGGCG
rnacentral:tRNA from 1 species